rnacentral:rRNA from 1 species
AUGGAGGCCGUGAGUGCCUCCCACGGCGCAUUUGGUCCCCUGCUGUGGAAGCUCACCACCUUGCUUGCCGAUGAGUGUGCUCGGCUGAAAGGGGUCCGCCGUGAGAUCCGUUCCCUUAGGUCAGAGCUCGCCAGCAUGCAUGCUGCACUGAAGGAGUACAUGAAGCUAGAAGACCCAAAUGACCAAGUGAAGACAUGGAUAUCGCUGGUCAGGGAGUUAGCCUAUGAUACCGAGGAUGUCUUUGACAAGUUCAUCCACCAGCUUGGCAGCAGAAGCCUUCAUGGUGGCUUCAAGGAGUUCUUCCGCAAGACUGCUCGCCGUCUGAAGACACUUGGCUCUCGUCGCGGAAUCGCUGACCAAAUUGACGACCUGAAAGAUCGCAUCAAGCAAGUGAAAGAGCUCAAGGAUAGUUACAAGUUGAAUGAUGUUCCUUCGAGCACCACUAGCCAUACGACUGUGGAUCCUCGGCUGCAUGCGGUAUUUGCUGAGGGGGCACACCUUGUGGGCGUGGAUGGUCCAAGGGAUGAUCUUGCCAAGUGGAUGCUGGAAGAAGGAAACAACACAUCCAAACCUUGCAAGGUGUUGUCUAUUGUUGGUUUUGGUGGGCUGGGAAAAACAACACUGGCAAAUGAAGUCUAUCGCAAAAUCCAAGGGCAAUUUGAUUGUAAGGCUUUCAUAUCGGUCUCGCAAAAACUAGAUAUAAAGAAAAUUAUGAAGGAUGUGAUCUCUCAAGUGUCAUGCCAAGACGGAUCCACAAAAGAUACCACUGAUUGGGAUGAAAUGAAGUCCAUUUCAGAGCUAAGAGAAUUACUGCAAAAUAAAAGGUAUCUCAUCAUUAUUGAUGAUGUAUGGUGUGCACAAACAUGGAACACUAUCAAGUGUGCUUUCCCAGAAGAUAAUUGUUCUAGCAGAAUUAUAGCUACUACACGCAUCAUUGAGGUGGCAAAGUCAUGUUGUCCGGGUGGUCAUGACCGUGUGUAUGAAUUGGAAGCCCUAAGUGAUAUCCACUCCAGGAGAUUGUUUUUCAGAAGAUUAUUUGCCUCUAAGGAAGAUUUCCCUGAAAUGUUGAAAGAAGUUUCUAAUAAAAUCCUAAAGAAAUGUGGAGGCCUACCAUUGGCAAUUAUCAGUAUAUCUGGUUUGCUAGAAAACCGACCAGCCAUCAAGGAAGAGUGGGAGAAGGUUAAGAGGUCAAUUGGUUCUGCACUGGAGAAAACCAAGAGUCUAGAGGGUAUGAGCAACAUACUUUCUCUUAGCUACAAUGAUCUUGCACCUAAUCUCAAGACUUGCUUGUUGUAUCUAAGUUUGUUUCCCGAAGACCAUGUGAUUGACAGAAAUAAGUUAGUGAGGCGAUGGAUAGCAGAAGGCUUCAUUUCUGAAGAGCGUGGACAGAGCAAGAAAGAGGUCGCUGAGAAUUACUUCUAUGAGCUUAUCAACAAAAGUAUGGUCCAACCGGUGGACAUUGGAUAUGAUGGCAAGGUCCGUGCCUGCCGAGUCCAUGACAUGAUGCUAGAAAUUAUAAUUUCAAAAUCUGCUGAAGAUAAUUUUACCACUGUGGUAGGUGGAGGUCAAACGAGUUUGCCAAAUCAUCAAGGUUUUAUUCGACGGCUAUCAAUCCAGUACAUUGACAAGGAACUUGCAUCUGCACUAGCAAAUGUAGAUCUCAGCCAUGUUCGAACUUUGAUAGUAAUGUCAUCAUGUUGCGUCACACACUUGCCCAGUCUUGAUCGGUUUGAAGCUUUACGUGUUCUGGAUUUUGAAGGUUAUAAGGAUUUAGAGGACUAUGAGAUGAAAGACGUGGAAAAAUUAUUCCAGCUAAAGUACCUAAGCUUUAUGGACACAGGUAUAUCAAAGCUACCAUCAGGGAUCAUGAUGCUAGGUAAUCUAGAGACCCUAGAUCUUAGGAAUACAUAUGUGAAAGAGCUGCCUGCUGGAAUUACUCGGUUGACUACACUACGACACCUAACUGUAUUUCUGGAGAAGUUACCAAAUGGAAUUGGGGGCAUGAGGAACUUACAGUUGAUGCCAAAAUUUAUUAUAACCUCGCAAGAAACAGAUGUGUUGGAGGAUCUCGGGAACCUGACAAGUUUGGAGGAACUCCAUGUGGAUCUUUGUGAUAAAGUAUCUUGCAAGGACAAGAUAUGUCAAAAAGAGAUGUUCCUCUCCUCACUGUGCAAGCUUGGCAGCAGCAAACUCCGUUCUUUGAGAAUAGGAGCAUACAACAGGGGUUCCGUCGACUUCUUAGAUUCUUGGUCCCCUCUGCCAUCUUCUCUUCAAAGCUUUUGGGCGCCCAACCGCGAUUCGUUCACAAACAUUCCAAAGUGGAUUACACCUGCACUCACUAACCUUGCCGACCUCUGCAUCAGCUUAACUGAACUUACGGAAGAUGGGCUGCUUACACUUGGGCAGCUCCCAUCCUUACUCUGCCUCCAACUAUGGCUAUCAGAGAAGUUUGUUGGUACAGCCCAAGCCACUUCUUUCCCAAAUUUGAAGGUGCUUAACUUCACAGAAACAGAACGAGCAUAUGUUUCAUUCGUGAAAGGGUCUGCACCCAAGCUUGAGGUAAUUAGGAACAUGCCAUUCAGUGUGUCCGCGGCAAAAGCUGAUGGCUUCUAUUUAGGCAUUCAGCAUCUCCCACGUCUCGUAAGAGUUUACAUAGGGCUUGAUGAGGAAGACGCGACAUCUUCAGAAUGCAAUGCUGCAGUUGCUGCAAUCAGGAAAGAAGCAGGUAUCAAUCCCAAGCAUCCUGCAGUUAGUAUUUGGGGGGAACCAGAUGAGCAAGGAAGAUGGUGA